AUUCCAGCUCCAAUAGCGUAUAUUAAAGUUGUUGCGGUUAAAAAGCUCGUAGUUGGAGUUCUGCCAGGUGACGCUCGUCCGCCCAAGUGGUGUGUACAGGGCGUGCAUCUGGCCCUUUCAAGGGGAACGUGUCUGCUCUUUAUUGAGUGGUGCGAGAUCCUUGACUUUUACUUUGAGGAAAUCAGAGUGUUCCAAGCAGGCUCUCGUCGUGUAUAGCUCAGCAUGGAAUAAUAGCAUUGGACUUCGUUUCUACGCUGUUGGUUGCAAGAACCGACUUAAUGAUUAAUAGGGACAGUCGGGGGCAUUUGUAUUCAAACGACAGAGGUGAAAUUCUUGGACCGUUUGAAGACAAACUACUGCGAAAGCAUUUGCCAAGAAUGUUUUCAUCA
rnacentral:rRNA from 1 species